AGUGAACGCUGGCGGUAGGCCUAACACAUGCAAGUCGAACGGCAGCACAGUAAGAGCUUGCUCUUACGGGUGGCGAGUGGCGGACGGGUGAGGAAUACAUCGGAAUCUACUUUUUCGUGGGGGAUAACGUAGGGAAACUUACGCUAAUACCGCAUACGACCUACGGGUGAAAGCAGGGGACCUUCGGACCUGGGCCGCUGGAAGGAGCGGAUGCCGGCUUAGCUAGUGGGCGGGGUAAAGGCCCCCCAAGGCGACGAUCCGUAGCUGGUCUGAGAGGAUGAUCAGCCACACUGGAACUGAGACACGGUCCAGACUCCUACGGGAGGCAGCAGUGGGGAAUAUUGGACAAUGGGCGCAAGCCUGAUCCAGCCAUACCGCGUGGGUGAAGAAGGCCUUCGGGUUGUAAAGCCCUUUUGUUGGGAAAGAAAAGCAGCAGGUUAAUACCCCGCUGUUCUGACGGUACCCAAAGAAUAAGCACCGGCUAACUUCGUG
rnacentral:rRNA from 1 species